CGCUAUCACUCCUACGGGAGGCAGCAGUGGGGAAUCUUGGACAAUGGGGGCAACCCUGAUCCAGCCAUGCCGCGUGAGUGAUGAAGGCCCUAGGGUCGUAAAGCUCUUUCGCCAGAGAUGAUAAUGACAGUAUCUGGUAAAGAAACCCCGGCUAACUCCGUGCCAGCAGCCGCGGUAAUACGGAGGGGGUUAGCGUUGUUCGGAAUUACUGGGCGUAAAGCGCACGUAGGCGGAUUGGAAAGUUAGAGGUGAAAUCCCGGGGCUCAACCCCGGAACUGCCUUUAAAACUCCCAGUCUUGAGUUCGAGAGAGGUGAGUGGAAUUCCGAGUGUAGAGGUGAAAUUCGUAGAUAUUCGGAGGAACACCAGUGGCGAAGGCGGCUCACUGGCUCGAUACUGACGCUGAGGUGCGAAAGUGUGGGGAGCAAACAGGAUUAGAUACCCUGGUAG
rnacentral:rRNA from 1 species